rnacentral:rRNA from 1 species
CAGUCGCCGCGGUAAUACGUAGGUGGCAAGCGUUGUCCGGAAUUAUUGGGCGUAAAGGGCUCGCAGGCGGUUUCUUAAGUCUGAUGUGAAAGCCCCCGGCUCAACCGGGGAGGGUCAUUGGAAACUGGGAAACUUGAGUGCAGAAGAGGAGAGUGGAAUUCCACGUGUAGCGGUGAAAUGCGUAGAGAUGUGGAGGAACACCAGUGGCGAAGGCGACUCUCUGGUCUGUAACUGACGCUGAGGAGCGAAAGCGUGGGGAGCGAACAGGAUUAGAUACCCCCGUAGCCCUGUCUCUUAUACC